CAGGAGAUCAGCCCCAGCUCAAGAGGGAUGGAGACCGUCUCUCUUCAACAGAGCCGCAAGAUAAACCAGGCGCUGUUGAUAAUACAUAAGAGGGUCACCAGGGACAAGCUCCUGGCCCUGGCCAGCACCAACCUGACCAUCUGGUGGUGGACCCAGCCAUCCUAUUGGAUGAGGAACAAGUGGCGACGGAGGGCCCUCUAGAGAGCCCACUUAUGCAGGCUCUCUUGGAGGACGUAAGGGCGCUCAUGGCAGACCUGGAGCCGCCUCAAGACGUCGGGGGGAAAGGGAGAUCCCAGCAUUUCUCCCAGACACGCAAGACCUGGAGGGUCUCCCGGUUUUCCUGGAGAACAUUUUUGAAGACGCCCUGUUUCCCCCUGACACCACAACGCCACCUGGGCUUCUGAUGCAGCCCGAUACCCUCAGCCCAGCAAACACACUGACGCCCGGUGACCUAUUCAUGUCGCCUGAGCUUCUGGAGCUUAUGCCCAUCCACAACUAGAGAUUACGCCAGCUACAUCAGAACAUCCCGUACCAUCCUCCUGCGAGAGCAUGUGGACUGACUGACCAUCCCAGCUCCAUCCAAGGCAAUUCCAUCACCACCCAAGAAAAAGGAGACCAUCUGGCCAGCCCAGCUCAGACAAUUCCAUCCCCAACCGAGAGCAAAGACGGACUACCUGUCACAUAAAUGCUAAAUUUACAAUACUUGGUAUUUAAUGCUAAACUUACAUCGCAUGACAGCAGUUUGAAGUUAUGGCUGCACUCAGUGACUUUGAUUGGAGGUUGCUGUGUGGGUGUUUGUAGGGAGUGGGUGGGUGUUUGUAGGGAGUGGGGGGGCUUGUUGGUUGUGGUUCGGGGCGUUUCAUUUGUUGGGACUGUGUGGGUCUGGUCUGGUUGGUCUUGUUUUGUGGUCGAUGUCGGACAACAGAGGAAUAAAGUUAAUUAUGCCAUUACUACUUUUCCCUGGUUGUUCCUCUGUUGUCUGUUGUUGAUCACGGAAUGGGACCGGGUUGGACCUGCACGGUUUCAGCGGGUGGGGCUUCCUGGGUCGCGGCUCGUGGGCUCUCCCUGUUCUUUGUGGACGUUGCUCGGUGGCUUUGGUCGGGGUCACUGAGUGCAGCUAUGACACGUCAGAGGAGAUCUGGCCCUCCCGGCUGAGCCUGGUUUCUCCCGAGGGUUUUUUUUCUCCAUUAUUCAUCAUUGGAGUUUGGGUUCCUCGCCACAGCAGAGCAGUGCAGUGUUGGCUUGCUCACCGGUAGACUGCAUUUAUUUAUUCAUUUAUUUAUUAGAUAUUAUUUAUUAUAAUGAUCUUGCUUGGUCUAUAAACACCAUGCACUGUGCUGUGUUUUACCUUUCUGUGUUUUUCUUAUUUGCUCCUGUAAAGCUGCUUUGGAACAAUGCACAUUGUGAAAAGCGCUAUAUAAAUAAAAU